AGAGCUGCUAGUUUGCUUCAUGUACUUUUUGUAAUACUCCUCUCCAGUCCCUUUCCUAUCAACAUGACAACUGCUCUAGGAAAGACAGUCGAUAGAGGUUAUUAAAAUGGACACAAAGCAGCUAAAGAUUUCCAGAGUUCCUGAACAAAGCAACAUAAUGAGUGGAUUAAAUGAAACAGGACUGAAGAAAUACAGCCGUGAAUCAGGCCCCAUGGCUGAACCUGGUCCAAUUGUCGGAGGAAUUCACUAAAGAUUCAGCUGUCGUGAACAGAACAUUUUGAAUGGUUUAGCAUCAGGCC